rnacentral:rRNA from 1 species
CAGUCGCCGCGGUAAAACGGAGGGUGCAAGCGUUAAUCGGAAUUACUGGGCGUAAAGCGCACGCAGGCGGUCUGACAAGUCAGAUGUGAAAUCCCCGGGCUUAACCUGGGAACUGCAUUUGAAACUGUCAGACUGGAGUCUUGUAGAGGGGGGUAGAAUUCCAGGUGUAGCGGUGAAAUGCGUAGAGAUCUGGAGGAAUACCGGUGGCGAAGGCGGCCCCCUGGACAAAGACUGACGCUCAGGUGCGAAAGCGUGGGGAGCAAACAGGAUUAGAUACCCCUGUAGUCCCUGUCUCUUAUAA